GUAUGAGCUUUCAUGUGCAUGCACACUUUUUCAGAUACACUGAAACAAAAACAGUGAAACAGUGUAUCUGAAAAAGUGUGCAUGUACACGAAAGCUCAU